rnacentral:rRNA from 1 species
UACGUAGGCGGCAAGCGUUGUCCGGAUUUAUUGGGUUUAAAGGGUGCGUAGGCGGCCCUGUAAGUCAGUGCUGAAAUAUCCCAGCUUAACUGGGAGGGUGGCAUUGAUACUGCGGGGCUAGAGUACAGAUGAGGUAGGCGGAAUUGACGGUGUAGCGGUGAAAUGCGUAGAUAUCAGGAGGAACACCGAUGGCGAAGGCAGGUCUCUGGGCAUUAACUGACGCUGAGGAGCGAAAGCAUGGGGAGCGAACAGG